GGUAGUAACACGUGGGUGAUCUGCCCUGCACUCUGGGAUAAGCCUGGGAAACUGGGUCUAAUACCGGAUAGGACCGCACUUUAGUGUGUGUGGUGGAAAGUUUUUUCGGUGUAGGAUGAGCCCGCGGCCUAUCAGCUUGUUGGUGGGGUAAUGGCCUACCAAGGCGGCGACGGGUAGCCGGACUGAGAGGUUGGUCGGCCACAUUGGGACUGAGAUACGGCCCAG
rnacentral:rRNA from 1 species